UACGUAGGUGGCGAGCGUUAUCCGGAUUUAUUGGGCGUAAAGCGUGCGCAGGCGGCUUGUUAAGUCUAAAAUAAAAGCCCGGAGCUUAACUCCGGUUCGUUUUAGAAACUGGCGAGCUUGAGUAUGGUAGAGGCAAACGGAAUUUCUAGUGUAGCGGUAAAAUGCGUAGAUAUUAGAAGGAACACCAGUGGCGAAGGCGGUUUGCUGGGCCAUUACUGACGCUCAUGCACGAAAGCGUGGGGAGCAAACAGG
rnacentral:rRNA from 1 species